GAGAUCUGGAGCAGCCGGGUUCCAUCUUUCCGCGCCGACCAGGGCGGCCGUGGGGCUCUCGCGAGAUUUGCGGGGAGUCGAAGCGCGGGGGCUGGCGCGGUGAGGGAAGCUGGAGCUGCGGGUGGGGAACAUGUCGGACUCAGACAUCGGCAGGAAGUGGGACCGGUGCAUGGCGGAUGCGGUGGUGAAGCUAGGUAAGGGCCUGGCGCGCCUAGCGGCCCGGCCCGGAGCGAGGACGGCAAGUCGCGAGGGUCAAGCCGCGGCCCGCAGGGUGUGUGCGGAGCUGCCCCGGCGCCCACAGCUGCAAGGGGUGAGGCAGGUCGCCUUGAAAUUGACCCUUCUGCCGUUUUUUAAACCAGGCAAUAGCAGGAUCUUGGACUUGGAUGUGGAUAGCAGUGCCUCCGUUCUAGAAGUUCCUGGAUUGCUCCCACCAGCGCUUGGGAGGAUGAGGCAGGAGGAUCAUCAUGAGUUCAUACCAGACCAACCAAGGCUAUACAGCACCUACCUCAAAAAGCAAAAGAGCAAAACUCCACAGGAUUCCAGCCUUACAAGUGUGAAAACAUUUAAGGUACUGGUUUUGGAUUAGGAAUUGUUUUCUCCCUCACCUUCUUUAAAAGAAGAAUGUGGCCCAUAGCCUUUGGUUCUGGCAUGGGAUUGGGGAUGGCCUACUCCAACUGUCAGCAUGACUUCCAAGCUCCAUAUCUUCUACAUGGAAAAUAUGUCAAAGAGCAGUGACUAAUGCCGAGAACAUCCCAGCGGGAGGAAAGAAACCAUGUUUAUUCCUCAGGAAUACUGAAGUGCCCUGGAGUGGCUGAUGUUCUGUGACAAUGCCAUCGGCUAUGCUUUCAAUUCCAGCCACUAUUUAUGUGAUUGAAACCAAGUCUGUUUCUUUUGUAUUUUCUCUCUGGAAAUUGUAAGGCGGCGGUCUUAAAAUAAAUUAAUUAAAAAUGGGAAGCCCA